rnacentral:rRNA from 1 species
UACGAACCGUACAAACGUUAUUCGGAAUCACUGGGCUUAAAGGGUGCGUAGGCGGCCAUGUAAGUGGGGUGUGAAAUCCCUCGGCUCAACCGAGGAACUGCGCUCCAUACUGCAUGGCUUGAGGGAGACAGGGGUAAGCGGAACUGAUGGUGGAGUGGUGAAAUGCGUUGAUAUCAUCAGGAACACCGGUGGCGAAAGCGGCUUACUGGGUCUCUUCUGACGCUGAGGUACGAAAGCUAGGGGAGCGAACGGG